AAAUUUCAUUGAAAAAAAAGUUGUAGCAGGGUGUCUAUUUUUUGUCGCACUUUUGGUACCUAAUUCUCAUUUUGCUAAAAUAGGCGCGGGAGACAGAGGGGUUAAUCUAACAUUUUUUAUAUUUGAUUUAGAUUGAAUAACAUUUUCAGUUUUUUUUUAGAUUAAAUAAAAUUGAAGGUCAAAAUAAUGAUAAAGGUUUUCAAUAUUGUUUCCUAUUUAUUAAAGUUAAAAA